rnacentral:lncRNA from 1 species
CUACCUGUGUGUGUAUUAGACACCCCGGCCUUCUCACUACCUGUAUCAACUAUGGCCUGAGUAUGAUAGACUUAUCCAUGGUUUAAACAGAAUAUAUUGUUUUCAACUUUGAAAAUAAGAAUAUGGAAAUCCAGAUGCAGAAAUGUGAGAAGAAAAGAGAGUAAACAGAGUGGAAGGUCAGGUGACCUUGCCUGUCAUGAAUAUGAAGGUCAAGGUGUGUGAAUUGUGAAAUUUCCAAGAGAACCUCACUGAAGCAAAGAAUGGAGAAAGAAUCGCAUUUGGCCCUGGGAGCGUGCAGGGGUGAAUGGUGCAGGAGCUAAAUCUUUAUCAUACCCAGAAAUCAACAGCCACUAUUUGAAAUCAUCUAAAUUCGUGCUGCUAACCUUCAGUGUACACACAAAUCACCUGGGGAUCUUAUUAAAAGCUAGUUUCUGAUUCACUAAAUCUGUGUGAGGUGGAAGUUGAGGGCAGAGAAGCUCCCAAGGGUGUCAAGCUGACCCUGAACCCGACUUUGAGGGUUAAGGUCCCAAAUGGCAUCGCCAGCACCAGGGACAGACACUAAAAUUGUAGAAAUCAUCUCAAGAAAUGAACAGCCUCUAAGUCAGAUGUUGAAUGUGAAAGAAAUCAGGGUGUGUACGUGUGUGUGUGUUUGUGUGUGCACGUGUGUGCCUGUGUUUGUGCAUGUAUGUUUCUAUGUGUGCACAUGUGUGUAUGUGUCUGUGCAUGUGUGUUUCUGUGUGUGUGCCUGUGUGUGUAUUGGCUUAGAUCUGUUCGAGACUUUUUAUUUGAUGAGAUCGACAUAUGUC